GACGAACGCUGGCGGCGUGCUUAACACAUGCAAGUCGAACGGAAAGGCCCUGCUUUUGUGGGGUGCUCGAGUGGCGAACGGGUGAGUAACACGUGAGUAACCUGCCCUUGACUUUGGGAUAACUUCAGGAAACUGGGGCUAAUACCGGAUAGGAGCUCCUGCUGCAUGGUGGGGGUUGGAAAGUUUCGGCGGUUGGGGAUGGACUCGCGGCUUAUCAGCUUGUUGGUGGGGUAGUGGCUUACCAAGGCUUUGACGGGUAGCCGGCCUGAGAGGGUGACCGGCCACAUUGGGACUGAGAUACGGCCCAGACUCCUACGGGAGGCAGCAGUGGGGAAUAUUGCACAAUGGGCGGAAGCCUGAUGCAGCAACGCCGCGUGCGGGAUGACGGCCUUCGGGUUGUAAACCGCUUUCACCUGUGACGAAGCGUGAGUGACGGUAAUGGGUAAAGAAGCACCGGCUAACUACGUGCCAGCAGCCGCGGUGAUACGUAGGGUGCGAGCGUUGUCCGGAUUUAUUGGGCGUAAAGGGCUCGUAGGUGGUUGAUCGCGUCGGAAGUGUAAUCUUGGGGCUUAACCCUGAGCGUGCUUUCGAUACGGGUUGACUUGAGGAAGGUAGGGGAGAAUGGAAUUCCUGGUGGAGCGGUGGAAUGCGCAGAUAUCAGGAGGAACACCAGUGGCGAAGGCGGUUCUCUGGGCCUUUCCUGACGCUGAGGAGCGAAAGCGUGGGGAGCGAACAGGCUUAGAUACCCUGGUAGUCCACGCUGUAAACGGUGGGUACUAGGUGUGGGGUCCAUUCCACGGGUUCCGUGCCGUAGCUAACGCUUUAAGUACCCCGCCUGGGGAGUACGGCCGCAAGGCUAAAACUCAAAGGAAUUGACGGGGCCCCGCACAAGCGGCGGAGCAUGCGGAUUAAUUCGAUGCAACGCGUAGAACCUUACCUGGGUUUGACAUGGAUCGGGAGCGCUCAGAGAUGGGUGUGCCUCUUUUGGGGUCGGUUCACAGGUGGUGCAUGGCUGUCGUCAGCUCGUGUCGUGAGAUGUUGGGUUUAGUCCCGCAACGAGCGCAACCCUUGUUCACUGUUGCCAGCACGUUAUGGUGGGGACUCAGUGGAGACCGCCGGGGUCAACUCGGAGGAAGGUGGGGAUGACGUCAAGUCAUCAUGCCCCUUAUGUCCAGGGCUUCACGCAUACUACAAUGGCUGGUACAGAGAGUGGCGAGCCUGUGAGGGUGAGCGAAUCUCGGAAAGCCGGUCUCAGUUCGGAUUGGGGUCUGCAACUCGACCUCAUGAAGUCGGAGUCGCUAGUAAUCGCAGAUCAGCAACGCUGCGGUGAAUACGUUCCCGGG
rnacentral:rRNA from 1 species